rnacentral:rRNA from 1 species
UAACACAUGCAAGUCGAACGGAGUCAGAAGCUUGCUUUUGACUAGUGGCGGACGGGUGAGUAACGCGUGAGUAACCUGCCUCUGAGAGGGGAAUAACGUUCUGAAAAGAACGCUAAUACCGCAUAACGUAUCGAAGCCGCAUGACUUUGAUACCAAAGAUUUUAUCGCUCGGAGAUGGACUCGCGUCCGAUUAGUUAGUUGGUGAAGUAACGGCUCACCAAGACCGCGAUCGGUAGCCGGACUGAGAGGUUGAUCGGCCACAUUGGGACUGAGACACGGCCCAGACUCCUACGGGAGGCAGCAGUGGGGGAUAUUGCGCAAUGGGGGCAACCCUGAACCGCAGCAACGCCGCGUGAAGGAUGAAGGUUUUCGGAUUGUAAACUUCUUUUAUCAGGGACGAAGCUUGACGGUACCUGAUGAAUAAGCUCCGGCUAACUACGUGCCAGCCGCGGC